rnacentral:rRNA from 1 species
AGGCUUAACACAUGCAAGUCGAGCGCCCCGCAAGGGGAGCGGCAGACGGGUGAGUAACGCGUGGGAAUCUACCCAUCUCUACGGAAUAACUCAGGGAAACUUGUGCUAAUACCGUAUACGCCCUUCGGGGGAAAGAUUUAUCGGAGAUGGAUGAGCCCGCGUUGGAUUAGCUAGUUGGUGGGGUAAAGGCCUACCAAGGCGACGAUCCAUAGCUGGUCUGAGAGGAUGAUCAGCCACAUUGGGACUGAGACACGGCCCAAACUCCUACGGGAGGCAGCAGUGGGGAAUAUUGGACAAUGGGCGCAAGCCUGAUCCAGCCAUGCCGCGUGAGUGAUGAAGGCCUUAGGGUUGUAAAGCUCUUUCACCGGAGAAGAUAAUGACGGUAUCCGGAGAAGAAGCCCCGGCUAACUUCGUGCCAGCAGCCCGCGGUAAUACCAAAGGGGGCUAGCGUUGUUCGGAAUUACUGGGCGUAAAGCGCACGUAGGC